UACCACUUUUUUGGUUCUUGGACUACCUAUUUAGCUAAGCGCCGUUUACACUACGCUCAAUUUUUGGUACCGUACCACUUUUUGUUUCUUGGACUACCUUAAAUAGGUAGUCCAAGAACCAAAAAAGUGGCAU